AAAAUGAAAAUUAUGAAUCAGUUUGAAGCAAUCUCUCUUUUCCAAAGUGUACUUUGGAAAUUUUGAAAUUUUGGUUACAAUCAUGUCGAAAUUUUCUGCGAUUAUCGUGAUCAUUUCUUGCUUGUGUAUUUCCCACGUGUCUUUGGCUCCAGUUGAUCACGAUGGAAAUGAAAAGUUGCUGAAUUUCAACAUCAACGCGUUCCAGCUCAACCCAAACACGAAUUGUCAGAUAAGUAGCUUCUGCCAGUCCUUCUGCACCAAGUGGAAUUUGGUCGCUACUUGUCCCACGUCAGGACCUUCAUCUUCCGAUUGCAACUGUAAUUUUGCCAGUCUUGGAUGAAAAACGAAUUUUGGGUUGAAAUAUAUACGUAGAUCAGGCAUGAAUUAAAAACAAGUAGAACGAAAUUUGUAAUUUAAAUGCUGAUAUAAACUUCGCAUUUGCAUCAAAACAUUCUUAUUGACUAAUUAUUUUCUUACUUCAGAUAAUUGCAUUAUGUGUUGUACCUCAUGAAUAGAUGAAUUAAUCAAAUCUUCACUAAGGCAAAUUUUCGGUGUAUUUACAACAAGUUAUGAAUGAAUGUGGGUUCCAAAAGGUCAUAAAAUUAUAUAAUGUUCUAAAAUUGUCUGAGUUUAAAUAUUUAUGUUUGAAUAAAAUGAACAUAGCCAUUUGCUUGAAA